ACAUGGGGCAGGUUUUUGUCCAGGUCUGUGUCACUGUGGAGGGUGUUCGGAGGUGGAACCGCUCUGACUGUCACAGGUCAGCCACCUGUACCGCCGAAAGUGCAUCUCUUCCCUCCAUCUCAGGAAGAGAUCAAGAUCAAGGGCAAAGGCACCCUGGUCUGUCUCGUAGAUGGCUUUCGCCCAACAAAGACUGUCCAAGUCAACUGGCAGGCUGAUGGGAAAGCCAUCUCCUCCGGAGUGCAAACCAGCGAGCCCACCAAACAAGGUGACAAGUAUAUGGCCACCAGUUACCUGACCGUCACUCCCUCAGACUGGGAAAACCAUCAGAGAUACAGCUGCAUAGUGACGCACGACGGGAAGACCUUCGAGGAGGUGGUGAAGCCAUCCACGUGUCCAUAAAUGUUGGAAAGUCUGGAUUUGGCUCUCCCGUGCCUGGCUCUAGGGAGGAAUCAUGCUUCCUUCAUGGGCCAAACCCUAAUGCGGAUUAAUUCAUAAAGGCACAUUUCCUUCCUAUGUAGUUCCUUUUCCCCAUCUUCUCUCUUCAAUUUCCUAUCCAUAUUGGCUUCUAUCGUUAGCACGUUAAUAAAAUGUUGAUCCAUUUCA